GUGAAUCAUCAAAUUUUUGAACGCAAAUUGCACUUUCUGGUAUUCCGGAGAGUAUGCCUGUUUGAGGGUCAGUUAAAUAAAAAUCGGUUAUGUUGCUGCCUUUCGUGGUUACGCGGCGGAAUUGAGUUGUCUUACCUUCGGUUAAGUGACGUAAAAUUUUGCGUGAUUUUCGAGCGUAUUGAAAUUACUUACGUACUUUUGAGAUGUCGAAUACAUUAUUAG
rnacentral:misc_RNA from 1 species